UGGGGAAUUUUGGACAAUGGGCGAAAGCCUGAUCCAGCAAUGCCGCGUGUGUGAAGAAGGCCUUCGGGUUGUAAAGCACUUUUGUCCGGAAAGAAAUCCUUGGCUCUAAUACAGUCGGGGGAUGACGGUACCGGAAGAAUAAGCACCGGCUAACUACGUGCCAGCAGCCGCGGUAAUACGUAGGGUGCAAGCGUUAAUCGGAAUUACUGGGCGUAAAGCGUGCGCAGGCGGUUUGCUAAGACCGAUGUGAAAUCCCCGGGCUCAACCUGGGAACUGCAUUGGUGACUGGCAGGCUAGAGUAUGGCAGAGGGGGGUAGAAUUCCACGUGUAGCAGUGAAAUGCGUAGAGAUGUGGAGGAAUACCGAUGGCGAAGGCAGCCCCCUGGGCCAAUACUGACGCUCAUGCACGAAAGCGUGGGGAGCAAACAGGAUUAGAUACCCUGGUAGUCCACGCCCUAAACGAUGUCAACUAGUUGUUGGGGGAUUCAUUUCCUUAGUAACGUAGCUAACGCGUGAAGUUGACCGCCUGGGGAGUACGGUCGCAAGAUUAAAACUCAAAUGAAUUGACGGGGUCAUAGCUGUUU
rnacentral:rRNA from 1 species